CAACAAGUGCUUUUCUGACCAAGGUAGCUCCUCAGCCCUUUGUUUAGUUUUCUAAAAUAAUUUUUAAAAAACGCCUAGGGAUUUUUCUAUAGCCACUUGCUUUUUGUUCAGCCGUAUGAACAAAAGGACGACGGCAAAUAAGAGUAGAGAAAGCAGCUGUGCCACAGAAUACAGAUCCUACCUCUAAGAGUUUGUCAUCUUUCUAGGUGGAGGAAGACGGAAAGAUUUCAUGGCCUGGAGAAUGAAUGGGACUGUGUCUUUGUUACUGUUCUAUUACUGGUAAUUAUUGUCUAAUGAAUAGACAGAAGAGAUCAAAAACUUGAAAAGAUCAGUUUUUACUCAGACAUCAUCAGAGAUGCUUCCUCAUGGAGUAGGUGAGAACAAAUUCAGAGACCCACAGCUGGACAAUGUGCAGAGAGAGACAGACCUUGGAACACUCAGUCCUGAAUGGGAUGUCUCCAUCCAAACCCGGAG
rnacentral:lncRNA from 1 species